GCCUUCGUGGUGUAGCGGUCAGCAUGCUUGACACGUAACCGAGAAGUCCGCGGUUCGAUUCCCAGCGAGGGCA
rnacentral:tRNA from 1 species